ACAUGCAAGUCGAACGGAAAGGCCCAGCUUGCUGGGUACUCGAGUGGCGAACGGGUGAGUAACACGUGGGUGAUCUGCCCCUGACUUUGGGAUAAGCCUGGGAAACUGGGUCUAAUACCGAAUAUUCAUUUUUCCUCGCAUGGGGAUUGGUGGAAAGCUUUUGCGGUUGGGGAUGGGCCCGCGGCCUAUCAGCUUGUUGGUGGGGUAAUGGCCUACCAAGGCGACGACGGGUAGCCGACCUGAGAGGGUGAUCGGCCACACUGGGACUGAGACACGGCCCAGACUCCUACGGGAGGCAGCAGUGGGGAAUAUUGCACAAUGGGCGCAAGCCUGAUGCAGCGACGCCGCGUGAGGGAUGACGGCCUUCGGGUUGUAAACCUCUUUCAGCUCCGACGAAGCGCAAGUGACGGUAGGAGCAGAAGAAGCACCGGCCAACUACGUGCCAGCAGCCGCGGUAAUACGUAGGGUGCAAGCGUUGUCCGGAAUUACUGGGCGUAAAGAGCUCGUAGGCGGUUUGUCGCGUCGUCUGUGAAAUUCUGCAGCUUAACUGCAGGCGUGCAGGCGAUACGGGCAGACUUGAGUACUACAGGGGAGACUGGAAUUCCUGGUGUAGCGGUGAAAUGCGCAGAUAUCAGGAGGAACACCGGUGGCGAAGGCGGGUCUCUGGGUAGUAACUGACGCUGAGGAGCGAAAGCGUGGGUAGCGAACAGGAUUAGAUACCCUGGUAGUCCACGCCGUAAACGGUGGGUACUAGGUG
rnacentral:rRNA from 1 species